rnacentral:lncRNA from 1 species
AGAGACACACUGGGGCUCCCUUCGAGACAAGUCAGCCUUCUGGAGCACUCUGCCAGGCAGAGCAUAACCGAGGAGACUGUCCCAGUUUCUCUCCGCUAUUUUUAAAGAGCAGGUCCCUGAGCCGUGGUUGUGCUUCGUAUGAGAACCCACAAGAGGAGGGAGACUCAAGGUGGGGGCUAAGUGACCAGACUGCUACCACGCAGACAGCAAGCAGCAAAGCUGGGAGCCAGCCAAGACUUCUCCAGCCUGAAGCCUGGGCUUUGUUUGCAGAGUGGCUCCAGCUCCCCACUACACCUCUCACAUGGCCAUGAGUGAGCUAGCACCGCAACCCAGGCACCAUUACGCACCUUCUGAGCAGACAGAUUACCGUUUGUGUAAGAAAUGAAUCAACGCAUGCAAAGUUAAGUGCACAGUGAAAACAAACCAGCUCUCAGAUUGGGCAUGUAAAUCGUUUUUGUUGUGUUCUUGGACACAUUGUGUAUCUCUGCCACUUUGUCACUGAUGCAAUGGAUUUGAACCUGCAGACUUGGAAUCCGAAAACUUUACUGUGCUUCCAGAACUUUUUCAUUAGGACCUCUUGUUGACAGUUUUCUGGGAGACUCAUCUACAAAACAUGAACUAAUACAAAAGUGGGCUGAUGCUUCCCAUAAAAGGAUCUUCUGUUGUAGAAAUGCUUAGGUUUUUGAUGUGAUUUGAUUUUGGCAUGCUACUUGACUUGAAAUUGGAAUACUUUAUAUGAUCAAGGUGCAUUUAUUUUGUCAUAAUUCUCUGAAUUGCAGUAGAAUUAAUAUCCAUCAGAUUAGUAACCACCCAGGAUAGUACUUAUCCACUUUUAAUUUGGAUGGGAGGAUUUUAAAAUGUCUUAAAUAUAUUUUACACUGUUAUUCUCUGGUCUUGGUACUUUUGCCAAGAAUACUGAUCAGAGUGAUUAUCAAAAGACUAAAAAGAUCACUGGUAGGACAGUUCUUGUCUGUUGCACAAUGAUGGUGUGACAUGGAGAGAUGCAAAACUUUAGCACACCAGAAAGAGAGAAGAUACUGGUGAUGGAGAAUGAAUGAAUUCAUUGAAAUAACCCCAAUUUAAUCAGCAGUUGGCAUCUCUCUGAAGCAACCAGCCUUCAGAUUUUGCUUGCAGCUCUGUCCAGGCAACCUACUGAAAAGCUGGUAAACUCAGCAGGCUGUCCUUGGGGAAACAACCUCAUCUGUCUUAUUCCUGGGUCACUAGAAAUCCUAGAGGGACUAAGGAUAACCCUCUAAGAGUAACUCAUGUCUUCUACUUUCUUUGUGUUAACUUUUUCCCCAUUAGCUACUUGAAAACAGCAAUAUGUACCUCCAGAUCUAACCAUAUGCCAUUUUUGGGGGGUAUAAAUCAUUUGCAUGAUUACUGUGGAACAGAAAUACUGUUAUUCCUCAGUUUUGAAUGCUCCAAAGUUGGAAUAAGGUGCUUUGUCAUCAAGUAGGACAGAUGUGUUCCCAGCCGAUGCUUCCAAAUGAUAACGUGGAUAAGAAAAGGAAGCAGGGAGUUUCAUGAGAUGUGGUUUUAAUGGAUGUUUAGAUUGGCUGUAAAUGUGCAAGCACGUGUUUGUUUAGAGUUACUAGGAUAUGAAUCAAAGAAAUAAAAACAGCAGUACAUUAAGGCUUAGAAAACCUCUUGGAAAGAAGCAAAUCAAUAUUUUUAAAUGUAAAUAUUUUGACCCGACCUAUUAUACAUGUUUUUGUGCUACAGUGUGAGAGGUUGGAGUUUGAAGCGGCAACAUUUCUCCUGCUUUCUGCAAGGACAGCAGAUUGUGUUUCAUCCACUAGCACCUUGUCUUACUGACUAAGUAGUGAUGUUACACAGCUUAUAAAUAUCUGUCAAAACCUUGUGCUUUUCGGAAAACACACGUAUCCUCAAACUUCCCAGUUCUAAGCAGCACAUCUGUCCCUGGCUUAUCACAAUAUACUCAGUUAAAGUAAUCAGAACUUUUUUUUUCUCUGUAUUUUCUGUUAUCAGUGAGUGGUACUGUCCUCAGUCAGCCAGUGAACUCCCAGUUUUGGCCCUCUUAGUAAGGCCCUCACGACUGUGCUGAAUUGCAGAAGACAUUGCAAAGACUUUUCUUGAAUCAGUGAGUUUCUAUUUCACUUUCUGUUUCUCUACUCCUUAUAAUACCCAUUGCCUUAUUUAGUUCAAAUUUAAACGAGAGAAGCAUUUUAAAAUGUAAUAAAUGAUUAAUAGACAUGAGGACAUUACAAGCAUAAGUAACAUGUCACAAAUUGUUGAAAGCCAGAGUAACUAAGUCAGCAUAGUCUGUACUUUUUUGAGAUUGUGUACCAUUUAAUUCUGACAGAUUUCCUUAUUGUGGCAUCUUCCUAAAGUAUUAACAAAUAUAAAACUAAUAUUAAAGCUGGUGUAUAUUUACAAAGAUUCAUCAGAUUGUUAGAACUCCUGAUAAUUGGAGCAAUCACCUUUUCUGACAGAUAUAUGCCAAGAGAAAUGAUUGCAACAGCUUUGCUUGUUCGUUUCUCAAUAGUGCUGUUAAGCCGGAGUUAGAGUCCUCACUGAGGUGGCCCCUGGUCAUGGUAUUAGGACAUUAUAGCUGGGGAAAAAGUGAGUGUACCAGUUUUGUGUCUGCUCCUGGUACCCCAUGCAGAACUGACAUCCAAUCCUCCUGUUUUCUUCUUCCUUUGCAAUUUACUACUUCUUAUGGCUACAGCUCGCUCAAAGUAACACAAGCCUUGAAGCACAUCAUUCCGUUUACUUAGCAUUAUUAAUUAUAAGGAGACUGUUAAAUCAGUCUUCCAGUAAGUGCACUGGACUUUACGAAAGCAGAUCAGGUUGGGGGUGACAACUUUCUGAGUUGCACCGGCCAGAACAUGAUGGCCAAUCAUUAAAAUAAUCAUUAUAACCACAAGCAUUACACCUUAGACUUAAAAUUCAGGUCUGUAAAAGAGGCAUUUCUGGAGUGGAGAGGCCGCAGUUGUUGAAAUUUUCUUUUUUCCAGUGAUCUGAAAUGAGUACCAGCGCAUAAUAUGAAGCCUAUCUGCAACCUCUCUUUCUGACCUACUGAUUGUGAGGAAUGUAAAGAGAUUUCUUACAUGGAAGACCACCUAUUCACCUAUUUAAUGUCUUUGAACUCGUUCUGAUUUCUUUUUUUUUUUUUCGUUCAGAAGUCUUUCUCAGGUGCUUAUCAGUGAAAUGAAAAAAUGUCAAAAUUCUGUAUUUAUUGAGAAUCCUAUCAUGGUGUACAAGAUUUUUAAUUUUCAUUGUCCAGGCUUAGUUUGAUUGACUAACAGUAGACUGACCCUAUCUCCUUCUGCUUGUUUUUUACUCUCGGUCCAAGACAACCAAAAAUGCUUACUUAACUUACUUUGGGUGAGCUAAAUAAGGAAGUCUAACAGAAGCAAUAUUUUCAGCUAAGAGGUAAACAGGCUGCACAAUGAAAGUAGUGGUGUUGAAAAUGAGAUCGGAGACGAUGAAGCAGUUGGAGGUUGAGCCACAUCAAAUGAUAAGAUAAAAAAAAUGCAAGAUUUCAAAAAUGGGCUACUGUAGAUCAUUACUGAUGAGCACAGGAAGUCAAAUGUGUCACUUGGCUCCAACCAUUAUCUCAAAUUAUGUGAAUUUUACCACAGCUUUGAAAUCUCCUUCCCAGAUCAUCUCCCUUUCUUUUGCUGCCCAUCAAAGACUUUGCUUGUCUUUGAGGUGACAUACUGUUUUUCUGAUGGAGUUAUAAUCCAAAUAAAAUUACA